rnacentral:misc_RNA from 1 species
UGUGGGAGCGAGCCUGCUCGCGAUAGCUGUGGGUCAGUCAAUAUGGCUGCCACUGAUCCACCGCUAUCGCGAGCAGGCUCGCUCCCACA